rnacentral:rRNA from 1 species
GGGGAAUAUUGCACAAUGGGCGAAAGCCUGAUGCAGCGACGCCGCGUGAGGGAUGACGGCCUUCGGGUUGUAAACCUCUUUCAGCAGGGAAGAAGCGUGAGUGACGGUACCUGCAGAAGAAGCGCCGGCUAACUACGUGCCAGCAGCCGCGGUAAUACGUAGGGCGCAAGCGUUGUCCGGAAUUAUUGGGCGUAAAGAGCUCGUAGGCGGUUUGUUGCGUCUGCUGUGAAAUCCUCAGGCUCAACCUGGGGCGUGCAGUGGGUACGGGCAGACUAGAGUGCGGUAGGGGAGACUGGAAUUCCUGGUGUAGCGGUGGAAUGCGCAGAUAUCAGGAGGAACACCGGUGGCGAAGGCGGGUCUCUGGGCCGUUACUGACGCUGAGGAGCGAAAGCAUGGGGAGCGAAC